GCCUGGGUGGCUCAGUCGGUUGAGCAUCCGACUUUGGCUCAGGUCAUGAUCUCGUGGUUUGUGGGUUCGAGCCCUGCGUCAGGCU
rnacentral:tRNA from 1 species